AGCCAAGCUUGCUUGGUGGAUCAGUGGCGAACGGGUGAGUAACACGUGAGCAACCUGCCCUGGACUCUGGGAUAAGCGCUGGAAACGGCGUCUAAUACUGGAUAUGAGACGUGAUCGCAUGGUCGUGUUUGGAAAGAUUUUUCGGUCUGGGAUGGGCUCGCGGCCUAUCAGCUUGUUGGUGAGGUAAUGGCUCACCAAGGCGUCGACGGGUAGCCGGCCUGAGAGGGUGACCGGCCACACUGGGACUGAGACACGGCCCAGACUCCUACGGGAGGCAGCAGUGGGGAAUAUUGCACAAUGGGCGAAAGCCUGAUGCAGCAACGCCGCGUGAGGGAUGACGGCCUUCGGGUUGUAAACCUCUUUUAGCAGGGAAGAAGCGAAAGUGACGGUACCUGCAGAAAAAGCGCCGGCUAACUACGUGCCAGCAGCCGCGGUAAUACGUAGGGCGCAAGCGUUAUCCGGAAUUAUUGGGCGUAAAGAGCUCGUAGGCGGUUUGUCGCGUCUGCUGUGAAAUCCCGAGGCUCAACCUCGGGCCUGCAGUGGGUACGGGCAGACUAGAGUGCGGUAGGGGAGAUUGGAAUUCCUGGUGUAGCGGUGGAAUGCGCAGAUAUCAGGAGGAACACCGAUGGCGAAGGCAGAUCUCUGGGCCGUAACUGACGCUGAGGAGCGAAAGGGUGGGGAGCAAACAGGCUUAGAUACCCUGGUAGUCCACCCCGUAAACGUUGGGAACUAGUUGUGGGGACCAUUCCACGGUUUCCGUGACGCAGCUAACGCAUUAAGUUCCCCGCCUGGGGAGUACGGCCGCAAGGCUAAAACUCAAAGGAAUUGACGGGGACCCGCACAAGCGGCGGAGCAUGCGGAUUAAUUCGAUGCAACGCGAAGAACCUUACCAAGGCUUGACAUAUACGAGAACGGGCCAGAAAUGGUCAACUCUUUGGACACUCGUAAACAGGUGGUGCAUGGUUGUCGUCAGCUCGUGUCGUGAGAUGUUGGGUUAAGUCCCGCAACGAGCGCAACCCUCGUUCUAUGUUGCCAGCACGUAAUGGUGGGAACUCAUGGGAUACUGCCGGGGUCAACUCGGAGGAAGGUGGGGAUGACGUCAAAUCAUCAUGCCCCUUAUGUCUUGGGCUUNCACGCAUGCUACAAUGGCCGGUACAAAGGGCUGCAAUACCGUGAGGUGGAGCGAAUCCCAAAAAGCCGGUCCCAGUUCGGAUUGAGGUCUGCAACUCGACCUCAUGAAG
rnacentral:rRNA from 1 species